rnacentral:siRNA from 1 species
GAUACUGGAUGCAUGGUCCUUU